CAACCCUCAGGCCCCCAGUGCCUGGCGUUGGGGAUCGGCGCGGGCGGCGACGGCUCUCCGGAGUCCCGAGCCAAUGCCUGCCGGCCCCGAAAUUCAGUGGCGGUCUCGCUGUAGUCCCCCUCUGCGUAGUAGCACAACUCGCAUUGGAGCUCGGCGGUGGCCAUGCCGUAAAACACCCCACUUCUGAA
rnacentral:misc_RNA from 1 species